CCUGGUGGUUAUGGCGGAGCGGCUGCACCCGAUCCCAUUCCGAACUCGGCCGUGAAACGCUCCAGCGCCA
rnacentral:rRNA from 1 species